rnacentral:misc_RNA from 1 species
AAGUCGUAACAAGGUUUCCGUAGGUGAACCUGCGGAAGGAUCAUUCAUAAUAAGUGUUUAUGGCACUUUAAAAAAUCCAUACCCACCUUGUGUGCAAUGUCAACCCUUUUUUUGAAAAAAAAGGGGGUUCACUAUUCCACAUCAGUCUUUUUUUUCCCUAGUCUACAUUCGAGUAAAUAAAAAAACUCUAAUACAACUUUCAACAACGGAUCUCUUGGCUCUC